CGAGUUUGAUCAUGGCUCAGGAUGAACGCUAGCGGGAGGCUUAACACAUGCAAGUCGAGGGGUAAAUGGUAGCAAUACUAUGAGACCGGCGAACGGGUGCGUAACGCGUAUGCAACUUACCUUAUGCAGGGGGAUAGCCCGUGGAAACGCGGAUUAAUAUCCCAUAGAUCAGUAAUAUCGCAUGGUAUAACUGGUAAAACUCAGGUGGCAUAAGAUGGGCAUGCGUCUGAUUAGCUAGUUGGUGAGGUAACGGCUCACCAAGGCGAUGAUCGGUAGCUGGUCUGAGAGGACGAUCAGCCACACGGGAACUGAGACACGGUCCCGACUCCUACGGGGGGCAGCAGUGAGGAAUAUUCGGCAAUGGGGGCAACCCUGACCGAGCAACGCCGCGUGGAGGAUGACGGUUUUCGGAUUGUAAACUCCUUUUCUCAGGGAAGAGCGAGGACGGUACCUGAGGAAUAAGUCACGGCUAACUACGUG
rnacentral:rRNA from 1 species